rnacentral:rRNA from 1 species
CCUACGGGAGACAGCAGUAGGGAAUAUUGCACAAUGGGGGAAACCCUGAUGCAGCAAUGCCGCGUGGAUGAUGAAGGUCUUCGGGUUGUAAACUCCUUUCGUCAGAGAAGAUAAUGACGGUAUUUAUCCAUUAACCACUGGCCAACUCCGUGCCAGGAGACGCGGUCAUACGGAGGGUGCAAGCGUUACUCGGAAUCACUGGUCGUAAAGAGCGCGUAGGCGGGUUGGCAAGUCAGAUGUGAAACCCACGGGCUCAACCUGUGGCCUGCAUUUGAAACUGGAAGUCUUGAGUACUGGAGAGGCAGAUGGAAUUCCUAGUGUAGCGGUGAAAUGCGUAGAUAUGAGGAGGAACACCAGUGGCGAAGGCGGUCUGCUGGACAGCAACUGACGCUGAGGCGCGAAAGCGUGGGGAGCAAACAGGAUUAGAUACCCGAGUAGUC